rnacentral:rRNA from 1 species
UACGUAGGUGGCGAGCGUUGUCCGGAAUUACUGGGCGUAAAGGGUGCGUAGGCGGCUCCUUAAGUGAGGUGUGAAAUCCCUGGGCUCAACCCAGGAACUGCACUUCAAACUGGGGAGCUAGAGUGCAGGAGAGGAAAGCGGAAUUCCAGGUGUAGCGGUGAAAUGCGUAGAGAUCGGGAGGAACCCCAGUGGCGAAGGCGGCUUUCUGGACUGUAACUGACGCUGAGGCAAGAAAGCGUGGGGAGCAAACAGG